CCGCUUCUCCGACACGUCUGACGGAAACUCUGCCCGGAAACACCCGAGCUAAUCGGAACCAACGGCCGACGGAGACGGACGGGUCUUGUGAGUUACGAGGGGGUCGACUAGGUGUGACUUGCUGUGUUGGCGACGGUGGUGAUGGGAGGCGAGCAAAGUCAUGAGAGGACGGAGCGAGAAGAGGAGACUGAAAAACAGCAAGAAUCUGCAAAUAGUGACAGCUCAGGAUCUGCCUCUUCUGAAGACACCCCAGGAGAGCUCCCCCAGUGCCAGAUGGGAAACAGGAGGGUGGACAACAUGUGUUUCAUGAUCUCGUGCACCAACUGGUACUAAACUGGCCCUGGUGCAGCGGGUGAAUGAAACAGAUUGUGGGAACUGUGGGAGAAGGUGGAGUCUGAAUUGGGGUCGGACGAUGCAUUCACAAAUCCACGGAAAAUCCAGAUUGAAGCCGUUGCUGAAGUCCCACAUGCUCGCUGCGCUGUUCCACUGCUGCUCAUUAGAGGACUUUUUUGGAAACGCUGUGGUGUUAAUGAGUAGUUAGAAGAUGAGCGGGGACUUCUUUAAUGCUGGCUGCUGCUCAUUUGUCUAAACCUUUCACCUGCUCUUCAUGACACCUUUCCUGUAUCUACUGUUUCUGUACUAAUGGGAAAACAUCAGAGGGUUUGUUCGGAUGUUGAAACAUCGGGGGCUUAAAGCCAAGACAACUGCUGACUGUCAUAAACAAAGUAUUAUUACAGCCAAAGUCAAAGAAAUCUACUGAUUACUGUGUUUGAAUGUGUUUCUCUUCAUUCUUUGGGAGGUUUAAAGUAUAUAAUAAUAAUAUUUGCUUGGCGGCUGGUUGAAAUCCUUCGACUGACAGUUCACUGAAUUAAUGAGGUCUGAAUUUGGGCCACGUCAACCAUUUCCACAGUGACGACUGAAAUAAA